rnacentral:rRNA from 1 species
UACGUAGGGUGCGAGCGUUAAUCGGAAUUACUGGGCGUAAAGCGUGCGCCGGCGGUUUCGCAAGUCAGAUGUGAAAGCCCCGGGCUCAACCUGGGAAUUGCAUUUGAAACUACGAGGCUAGAGUGUGUCAGAGGGGGGUAGAAUUCCACGUGUAGCAGUGAAAUGCGUAGAGAUGUGGAGGAAUACCGAUGGCGAAGGCAGCCCCCUGGGAUAACACUGACGCUCAUGCACGAAAGCGUGGGGAGCAAACAGG